rnacentral:rRNA from 1 species
GGCGGACGGGUGAGUAACGCGCUAGGGAUCUACCUAAUGGUGGGGGAUAGCCCAGGGAAACUUGGAUUAAUACCGCAUAAGUCCUAAGGGAGAAAGCGGGGGAUCUUCGGACCUCGUGCCAUUAGAUGAGCCUGCGUAAGAUUAGCUAGUUGGUGAGGUAAGAGCUCACCAAGGCGACGAUCUUUAGCUGGUCUGAGAGGAUGAUCAGCCACACUGGGACUGAGACACGGCCCAGACUCCUACGGGAGGCAGCAGUGGGGAAUAUUGGACAAUGGGGGCAACCCUGAUCCAGCCAUGCCGCGUGUGUGAAGAAGGCCUUCGGGUUGUAAAGCACUUUCAGCAGUGAGGAAAGGUUACAGAUUAAUACUCUGUAGCUGUGACGUUAACUGCAGAAGAAGGACCGGCUAACUCCGUGCCAGCAGCCGCGGUAAUACGGAGGGUCCGAGUGUUAAUCGGAAUUACUGGGCGUAAAGCGCGC